rnacentral:rRNA from 1 species
ACGGGAGGCAGCAGUGGGGAAUAUUGCACAAUGGGGGAAACCCUGAUGCAGCGACGCCGCGUGAAGGAUGAAGUAUUUCGGUAUAUAAACUUCUAUCAGCAGGGAAGAAAAUGACGGUACCUGACUAAGAAGCCCCGGCUAACUACGUGCCAGCAGCCGCGGUAAUACGUAGGGGGCAAGCGUUAUCCGGAUUUACUGGGUGUAAAGGGAGCGUAGACGGCAUGGCAAGUCUGAAGUGAAAGCCCGGGGCUCAACCCCGGGACUGCUUUGGAAACUGUCAGGCUAGAGUGCUGGAGAGGUAAGUGGAAUUCCUAGUGUAGCGGUGAAAUGCGUAGAUAUUAGGAGGAACACCAGUGGCGAAGGCGGCUUACUGGACAGUGACUGACGUUGAGGCUCGAAAGCGUGGGGAGCAAACAGGAUUAGAUACCCUGGUAGUCCACGCCGUAAACGAUGACUACUAGGUGUCGGGUAGCAAAGCUAUUCGGUGCC